GUCCAUCAACAAGAUUAAACAACCCAGUCUCGUCCAUGUUGAAGACCUGCUCUGGCUUGUAUCCCUUCUCCCCAAUGAGUUUCUUAAAGGCCUCAGGAUACUUUGCUGCAGCUUCUGUGUCUGCAGAUGCAGCUUCUCCAUGGGAUUUUCCAAAUCGUAGUUGGUAACGUUUCAGGAAACGAUCGAACCAACCCUUGCUAGCAUGAAAUUCUUUGGCAUCAGCUGCUGUUGAUGGUCCUGUUUGUCCUUCAGUGAAUUGAGAAUAUAAUUUCAAUGCC